rnacentral:tRNA from 3 species
UGGAGUAUAGCCAAGUGGAACGGCGUCGGUUUUUGAGAUCGACAAGCAAAGGUUCGAAUCCUUUUACUCCAG